rnacentral:rRNA from 1 species
AUUGAACGCUGGCGGCAGGCUUAACACAUGCAAGUCGAGCGAGCGGCGGACGGGUGAGAAAUGUCUGAGAACUUGACUGAUGGAGGGGGAUAACUACUGGAAACGGUAGCUAAUACCGCAAACCAUCAGAUGUUCCCAGAUGGGAUUAGCUAGUAGGUGGGGUAAUGGCUCACCUAGGCGACGAUCCCUAGCUGUUCUGAGAGGAUGACUAGCCAUACUGGAACUGAGAAACGGUCCCGACUCAUACGUGAGGCAGCAGUGGGGAAUAUUGCACAAUGGGGGCAAGCCUGAUGCAGCCAUGCCGCGUGUGUGAAGAAGGCCUUCGGGUUGUAAAGCACUUUCAGCGAGGAGGCGUUACUCGCAGAAGAAGCACCGGCUAACUCCGUGCCAGCAGCCGCGGUAAUAC